AAACGUAGGGGGCGAGCGUUGGCCGGAAUUACUGGGCGUAAAGGACGCGUAGGCGGUUAUCCAAGUCAGGGGUGAAAACCGUGGGCUCAACUCAGGGCCUGCCUCUGAAACUGGGUAACUUGAGGGCCGGAGUGGGGAGGGGAAUUCCCCGUGUAGCGGUGAAAGGCGUAGAUAUUGGGAGGCACACCAGGGGCGAAGGCGGCUCUCUGGCCUAACCCUGACGCUGAGGCGCGAAAGCGUGGGAAUCAAACAGGAUUAGAUACCCGGGUAGUCCACGCCGUAAACGAUGGGUGCUAGGUGUAGGAGGUAUCGACCCCUUCUGUGCCGUAGUUAACACAAUAAGCACCCCGCCUGGGGAGUACGGCCGCAAGGUUGAAACUCAAAGGAAUUGACGGGG
rnacentral:rRNA from 1 species